rnacentral:lncRNA from 1 species
UGACGCUCUAGUUAGGGACAGAGAUAGUAUACACACUUAUUGUUGUUGUUGUUUUGCUGCCCUUAACUAGUCUAAUGUGCCUUUGUUUGGCGUUUAGUUUAAUCUUUCUGUUUUUAUGUUUGAUGCUUCUCUCGCUUCAUAUAUAUGUACCUGCUCGUCUUGUUGUAACGAAUAGAACUUAUAAAACUUUGACAUUUGAGUCAAUAAUUCGCUCGCUGUUCGUUGGAAUAUUUUCAAUUUUUAAAUUUAUUAUGCCGGAAGUUUUACAAUUGUUACGCGCUACUCCCAUAAGAAGUAAGCCUUUUGCUUUUUGCGUGUUUUAUAUAAAAUAGAAUAUUGUGUGUAUAAAUUUGUAUUAAUUGUUUUUAUAGACAGGGUAAACAUACCGCCUAUUUGACCAAGUUGCGGAUACAUAUAUGUGUGUAUAAUACGAUGGACAAUCCAUGGUGCCGCAGCUUAAUUUGCGUUAAACACACAUAUAUAUAUUAGCACAGAUUUUUUAUAAUUCUGAUGAGGGUGCAAUAUUAGCACCGAAAGCUAAAGAAAUAAAAUGACAUAAUACUUAUCAA